AGUGAACGCUGGCGGUAGGCCUAACACAUGCAAGUCGAACGGCAGCACAGUAAGAGCUUGCUCUUACGGGUGGCGAGUGGCGGACGGGUGAGGAAUACAUCGGAAUCUACUUUUUCGUGGGGGAUAACGUAGGGAAACUUACGCUAAUACCGCAUACGACCUACGGGUGAAAGCAGGGGAUCUUCGGACCUUGCGCGAUUGAAUGAGCCGAUGUCGGAUUAGCUAGUUGGCGGGGUAAAGGCCCACCAAGGCGACGAUCCGUAGCUGGUCUGAGAGGAUGAUCAGCCACACUGGAACUGGGACACGGUCCAGGCUCCUACGGGAGGCACCAGUGGGGAAUAUUGGACAAUGGGCGCAAGCCUGAUCCAGCCAUACCGCGUGGGUGAAGAAGGCCUUCGGGUUGUAAAGCCCUUUUGUUGGGAAAGAAAAGCAGCAGGUUAAUACCCCGCUGUUCUGACGGUACCCAAAGAAUAAGCACCGGCUAACUUCGUG
rnacentral:rRNA from 1 species